ACUUUAGAGAAAGACUCGGAAGAGGAAUAUGGGAGCCCAGAGAGCAAAUAUAGGACCCAAGAGGACGAAUAUGGAACUCUAGAGGAAGACUCAGAAGACGAAUAUGGCAGCCCCGGGGAAAGCGCAGAGGAAAAAUAUGGUACUUUAGAGGAAGACUCGGAAGAAGAUUCAUAGGACGAAUACGAGAGCCCAGAGGAAGAUUCCAUCUUAAAAAAAGAGGGUUUGAGCAUCGAGGAACAAAAGAAUUUAGUCUAA
rnacentral:rRNA from 1 species